UACGUAGGGUGCAAGCGUUGUCCGGAAUUAUUGGGCGUAAAGAGCUCGUAGGCGGUUUGUUGCGUCGGCUGUGAAAGCCCGAGGCUCAACCUCGGGUCUGCAGUCGAUACGAGCAAACUAGAGUGUUGCAGGGGAGACUGGAAUUCCUGGUGUAGCGGUGAAAUGCGCAGAUAUCAGGAGGAACACCGGUGGCGAAGGCGGGUCUCUGGGCAACAACUGACGCUGAGGAGCGGAAGCGUGGGGAGCGAACAGG
rnacentral:rRNA from 1 species